CGCUGGCCGGCGUGCCUAACACAUGCAAGUCGAACGGAGUUGUUUCCACCCGACAGNAUAAUCUUCGGAUGUGAAGUCACCGGAAACGCUUAGUGGCGGACGGGUGAGUAACGCGUGGGCAACCUGCCCUGCACAGGGGGAUAGCGGUUGGAAACGACCGGUAAUACCGCAUACCUUUACUUUGCCGCAUGACAGAGUAAAGAAAACGUUUAGUGGUGCAGGAUGGGCCCGCGUCCGAUUAGCUGGUUGGUGGGGUAACGGCCUACCAAGGCGACGAUCGGUAGCCGACCUGAGAGGGCGGACGGCCACAUUGGGACUGAGACACGGCCCAGACUCCUACGGGAGGCAGCAGUGGGGAAUAUUGCACAAUGGGGGAAACCCUGAUGCAGCGACGCCGCGUGAGUGAAGAAGUAUUUCGGUAUGUAAAGCUCUAUCAGCAGGGAAGAUAAUGACGGUACCUGACUAAGAAGCCCCGGCUAAAUACGUGCCAGCAGCCGCGGUAAUACGUAUGGGGCAAGCGUUAUCCGGAUUUACUGGGUGUAAAGGGAGCGUAGGCGGCAGUACAAGUCGGGAGUGAAAACUCGGGGCUCAACCCCGAGACUGCUCUCGAAACUGUGCAGCUAGAGUGCAGGAGGGGCAGGCGGAAUUCCUGGUGUAGCGGUGAAAUGCGUAGAUAUCAGGAGGAACACCGGCGGCGAAGCGGCCUGCUGGACUGUAACUGACGCUGAGGCUCGAAGCGUGGGGAGCGAACAGGAUUAGAUACCCUGGUAGUCCCCCCGUAACGAUGAAUACCAGGUGUCGGGACCGCAA
rnacentral:rRNA from 1 species